AGCGAACGCUGGCGGCAGGCCUAACACAUGCAAGUCGAACGAACUCUUCGGAGUUAGUGGCGGACGGGUGAGUAACACGUGGGAACGUGCCUUUUGGUUCGGAAUAACUCAGGGAAACUUGUGCUAAUACCGAAUGUGCCCUUCGGGGGAAAGAUUUAUCGCCAUUAGAGCGGCCCGCGUCUGAUUAGCUAGUUGGUGAGGUAACGGCUCACCAAGGCGACGAUCAGUAGCUGGUCUGAGAGGAUGACCAGCCACACUGGGACUGAGACACGGCCCAGACUCCUACGGGAGGCAGCAGUGGGGAAUCUUGCGCAAUGGGCGAAAGCCUGACGCAGCCAUGCCGCGUGAAUGAUGAAGGUCUUAGGAUUGUAAAAUUCUUUCACCGGGGACGAUAAUGACGGUACCCGGAGAAGAAGCCCCGGCUAACUUCGCG
rnacentral:rRNA from 1 species